GAUGAACGCUAGCGGCAGGCCUAAUACAUGCAAGUCGAGGGGUAACAGGGUAGCAAUACCGCUGACGACCGGCGCACGGGUGCGUAACACGUAUGAAAUCUACCUAUAACUGGGGAAUAGCCUUCCGAAAGGAAGAUUAACACCGCAUAAUACUACAGAGAGGCAUCUUUUUGUAGUCAAACCUCCGGGGGUUAUAGAUGAUCAUGCGUUCGAUUAGAUAGUUGGUGAGGUAACGGCUCACCAAGUCUACGAUCGAUAGGGGGUCUGAGAGGAUGAUCCCCCACACUGGUACUGAGACACGGACCAGACUCCUACGGGAGGCAGCAGUAAGGAAUAUUGGACAAUGGCCGCAAGGCUGAUCCAGCCAUGCCGCGUGCAGGAUGACGGCGCUCUGCGUUGUAAACUGCUUUUACUCGGGAAAAAACCCCUGCAUUCUUGCGGGGCUGAUUGUACCGAGAGAAUAAGGGACGGCUAACUUCGUGCCAGCCGCCGCGGUAAGAC
rnacentral:rRNA from 1 species